rnacentral:rRNA from 1 species
GAAAUCCGGACUAAUACCCCAUAAUAUGGGCGCUCCGCAUGGAGAGUUCAUUAAAGAAAGCAAUUUUGGUUACAGACGAGCAUGCGCUCCAUUAGCCAGUUGGCGGGGUAACGGCCCACCAAGGCGACGAUGGAUAGGGGUUCUGAGAGGAAGGUCCCCCACAUUGGAACUGAGACACGGUCCAAACUCCUACGGGAGGCAGCAGUGAGGAAUAUUGGUCAAUGGUCGGCAGACUGAACCAGCCAAGUCGCGUGAGGGAAGACGGCCCUACGGGUUGUAAACCUCUUUUGUCGGAGAGUAAAGUACGCUACGCGUAGCGUAUUGCAAGUAUCCGAAGAAAAAGCAUCGGCUAACUCCGUGCCUGCAGCCGCGGUAAUACGGAGGAUGCGAGCGUUAUCCGGAUUUAUUGGGUUUAAAGGGUGCGUAGGCGGCACGCCAAGUCAGCGGUGAAAUUUCCGGGCUCAACCCGGAAUGUGCCGUUGAAACUGGUGAGCUAGAGUGCACAAGAGGCAGGCGGAAUGCGUGGUGUAGCGGUGAAAUGCAUAGAUAUCACGCAGAACCCCGAUUGCGAAGGCAGCCUGCUAGGGUGCGACAGACGCUGAGGCACGAAAGCGUGGGUAUCGAACAGGAUUAGAUACCCUGGUAGUCCACGCAGUAAACGAUGAAUACUAACUGUUUGCGAUACAAUGUAAGCGGU